UGAGGGAUAUUGGUCAAUGGGGGAAACCCUGAACCAGCAACGCCGCGUGAGGGAAGACGGUUUCGGAUUGUAAACCUCUGUCCUCUGUGAAUAUAAUGACGGUAGCAGAGGAGGAAGCUCCGGCUAACUACGUGCC
rnacentral:rRNA from 1 species